AAAAUUUAAUUGUUUGAAUCAUUUCUAAUAAAAAUCGAUUACAGAAGGUUUGCUCUCACUGUUAUACGGAAUGACGAUGCUAUUCAUUUUAGUAAACUCGUGCCAGUCUAGUGCAUUAAAGAUAAGGCAUUUAAUUGAAGGCAUCGAAUUGUAUGCGUUUUGGGCGUCAGACCAUACGCAGCUAUAUCAUUUGAAACAGGAAAUCUUCAGUCAAAUAAAUUCCCUGCCAAUAUACGUUUCAGGUAGCGGCUUUUUCACUAUUGACCGACAAUAUCUGGCUGGGAUAGCUGCUAGCUGCUGCAUGUACAUAAUAAUUUUCAUUCAGUUUUUUGUAUCGUCAAACGUAUAAGGAAAGAUCUUUCGAAUUUUAUGCAAAUAAAAUCAAAUUUUUAUUUUUUGAACUUAAA